rnacentral:ribozyme from 1 species
AAAAAAAAAAAAAAAAAAAGAAAAGAAAAGAAAAAAAGCAAGAAAAAGAAAACUCUCUCUCUUUCCUCUUUCCCUUCCUCCCCUCUUUCUUUUGUUUUUUUGUUUU